GUUAAAAAUAAAAGAAAAAUAUAAAAGGUUCUACACAUACACUUAUAAGUCCUUUAGAGUUUAUAAAUCAUAAAUUCUAAGCCUAAUAGAAUUCUAAAUUUCUUGGUUCUACAAUGAAUAUAAUUCCGAAGUUCCAACUUCUUAUUCAGCAUCACUUAGGCAUCAUAUCACGGUUCCCGUAGACAUCUACACCUAGUGUUGAAUUGCAUCGCACAAUCCAAUGAAGCUUAUAACUGCUGGGACUUUUAUUGGUCGCAAACUGAAUAGUAGGCAUUACAAAGCAUGAGUAUAUAUAGACUCAAAGUAACUGUAAACCUUUAAAACAUUGGACUCGAAAAACUGUUGAUAAUCCUCUGAGGAUUUGGACCCCCUAAGAAAACUAAAAAAAAUGUUCUCCUAAACAAAUAGUGGGCUAUUAAUGACAUCUAGACCAUUAAUGCGGAGAUUACAAAAAUGCAUGAGACAAAAUUGUAAAAUUUUAAACCAGUGGCACGCCCACACACACACAUAAAAGAGACUUUAAGGACCAGAAAAUAGUUAGUAAUGUCCUAAAUAAGCCCUAUAUGACAUUUGGACCAUAACUCUGUUUCCUGA
rnacentral:misc_RNA from 1 species